rnacentral:lncRNA from 1 species
AAUAUCAUUGAGAAGAUACAAGUUUUCUCUGGUAAUGUUUUUUGCUACUGAUGAGAUCAACAAGAAUCCUUAUCAUUUACCCAACACGUCUUUGCUAUUCUCCUUCAUGGAUGGCCUGUGUGAGGAUAAAUUGGUAUUCUGGAAUUUGGAUCACAACCUCACAAUGGGAUGUCAUCACAAUUAAAAGAGAUUUCAACCUUGAUUUCUUCAUGGGACUGUCACUUUUGCACACCACAAAGCACAUCGGAAUGGACAGCAUUGCACAAAUGUGACAUGGCCCUAAGUGAAGAAGGUUACAGUCUGUAUAAUGUUGUGCAUGUUGUGGUCCACACCUACCAUGAACUCAUGCUUCAACAAGUAGAGUCUCAGAAAAUAGCAGAACAGAAAGGAUUAUUCACUGACUGUCAGCAGGUAAAGUUUCUUACUUUUCAUUAUGCUUAUAUAUAUAACAGUGUGAUCUUUUAAAUGGACCCAGAGAAACAAGUAUACAUUUGUUAAAGGUUAUUCUGUCAGUGGAAAGAUUUCUACACUGAAAAACUCUGUAAUUAAUCAUUUACAUGAAUGAAUAUCAUGCACAAAAUAACAUUUAAUAGGAGACAAAACG